CUACGGGGGGCAGCAGUGGGGAAUAUUGCACAAUGGGGGAAACCCUGAUGCAGCAACGCCGCGUGGGGGAAUGAAGGUCUUCGGAUUGUAAACCCCUGUCAUGUGGGGGCAAAUUAAAAAGAUAGUACCACAAGAGGAAGAGACGGCUAACUCUGUGCCAGCAGCCGCGGUAAUACAGAGGUCUCAAGCGUUGUUCGGAAUCACUGGGCGUAAAGCGUGCGUAGGCUGUUUCGUAAGUCGUGUGUGAAAGGCGCGGGCUCAACCCGCGCACGGCACAUGAUACUGCGAGACUAGAGAAAUGGUGG
rnacentral:rRNA from 1 species